UUCUAUCAGGCACUAAUCUCACCCUAAAAGAUAGAACCCCCUCUGUCACUCUCACCCUAACAAACCCUUCAACAAUUGAGCCUGGUCGGUUGGUAAAAUACCUCCACCCACAACCGUUAGGUCCUGGGUUCGAGUCACCCUGGAGGAAAGUGUGAAAAUACUAUAAAUCCUUCUAAAUUGGAAAAAACAAAAACUCUCCCUAUCCCUCCCACCGAUCUGGCGCAUCCGGCGAAUCCGUCGUCUCUCUUCUCUUAAUCACUUCCCCUAAGGUCCUCGAUUGGAAAUUGAGUGAUGUGGCUUUCGAACAGGAAGCUUUGAGUCUCCAAUCGCCAACCUUCAUUGUGCGAAUCUAGAGUUCCAUCGUUGGUUUGAUUUGCUCUAUCAACUCCUAACUCCAAAUAAGCAAGGAGCGUCAGCCCUUGAGCUGGAAAUAUUACACAAAAGAAAUUGGUCCUCGCUUGGUAGACAUGUACUAAGAGGCAUGUGAAAGAGUGUGAGAAGAAGAGAACACAUGCGAGAGAAGAGGGAAUUGGAAAUUUCCAGAAACAUUUUCAUUUCUUGCUAACUGAUACAAAGGAACAGGAAUUAGAGCUUCUGAGGAAAGAUAUUUGAGAAAAAAUUUUCCAAGAGAUUAAGAUGAUUUUAAAAAAUGAGUUUAAAAGAUCCCCCAAAUAGCAGUUCUGUUUGGAUAAAUAUACAUGACAUUCUGAUGUUAAGAAGGCAGACCCAAUACAGAUUACACCGAGUGCUCAUUCAAAAAUGUUGCAAGAAAUGAGUAUGAUUCUUUUUGGAAUUUUAGUUUAUCUGAUAAUGUAAUAUUGAAGUACCUAUACUUAUUUUUUAAUAAUAUAUAUUUUACUUAAUUGA